AAAAAUAUGCUGGAUGACAACUUAUGGCCCUUCCAAGGCUUCUUCCUAAAACCUUCUCUGCCAAAGGGGAGGCAACGCCACCAUUUCUCACAGCCUGGGGCAGCUUGGAAUGUGAUAUUUGGAGUCAGCAAAGAUUCCAAUCUGGCUAAUACACAUUAGGCAGUGUAGAGACCUGUGCUUUGGCCCUGAGGCACAGCCAUGUGACCAUGACUAAUCUAUGUCAUAGACGAGGUCAGAACAAGAGAAGGCAGGAUGUCCCAGGAGGGCUGUGUCAGAACUCAAGGAAAAAAAUAUGACCUAAAGAAUGCUCUUCCUGGCCAUUCAGCGCCCCCCGUUUCGGGUUUUGCAGCAGACUUCCCCUGGGAAGUCAGCUCCAGCAGUCUUGGGACCCUGGGCAAGCAGCAUCUGGGCCCCCCACCUGCCCAUCCCAACACAUCCUGCAGCAGUGCCGCACCCGGGCACCGUGGAGCCACAGAGGUCAGGAGGCCUGAUUCCAGCUUAUGCAAGUGACAGUGGCUGAUGGCAGAGGAGACUGCAAGUGAUCGUCCCACUCCCCUCCUACCUCAGGAGGUGCUGAGCCACCCUCACUGCUCUCGUUCACGUCAUGAGAGCAAGAGUCAGCUGCUGCCGCCCUCCAGGCUACCAGGCCUGACCUGCUACCACCAAGGCAUGACAUGGGUUCCCAGAACAGCAGCCACAGCCAGAUUUCCCUCCACCACACCCACCCGGGCAGCCUCCUCUAAAGUCACCAAACCCCGCCAGUCACAGAGAGCUCCCAGAUCAGAACAGGUGAAGGAUAACUGCAGAAUUCCUCAAUAACAAGGCCGUUUGCUAGCCAUGUGGUCUAUCAACCCUAAGAGGUGGAGAGACACCCUGAAAAUGACCCUAAGCAUGGUUCAUCUCUGAGGCUCCAGCACCUAAUAGUGUGUGCUUCUGCGCACUAAUUAAAUGUCUAGAAUAACAGAGAAUUAAUGCAACUCCUUGAAGACUGUGGGUUAGGGAGUCCCUGAGGAGCCAAAGAUACCGGCCAAUGAUCCCGACAAGAGGAGCUCUAGGGACAGGGCCCCAUUUCUCAGCCAACCCGACAUGGGCAGUCUGUGGUACUAAAUAGUGACCCAGCCUAGGAGGUGUGGAGGCAAAACGUCAAAUAUAUGUAUUAAAUCACUGGGACCAGGCAGUAUCAGAAUUUCUCAGCAACCAAUUUUUAUAGCCCCAGGUAUAACCUCUAGCUAUUGAAGAUGAAUGGGACAGAAAGUGAGAGGUUUACCAAGCUUUUGACCAUGAGGAAAAUCAGAAGGAAGACGUGGGGAUGAACAGACCUCAAUGUCAGACAAGCCAGGGGAGCCUGCCCAAAGCCACACACAUGAAGAGAAGAAAAAAGCAGAUAAAUAAACGAAAGCUGGCCAGUGUUAUCAAAGCCACACCAACCUUCACCUUACCCAACAGCUUCACAGCAAAGUCACACUGGAUGAAGGGGCCGAGAAGGAGAGCGAAAGCUAGUCAGACCCUGAAAGGGAAUCUGGCUGACAGAAAGAGCAAAGCCAGGGAUAAGUGGGCACUGCUUUACAAGGACAAGUGUAAAGUAGCCAUUUUCAACCUUUCUUACCCUUGUGUACCCUAAAAAAAAAUUUACAUCUAUGCAUAUCUAAGCUUAAUACGUAAAAUUCUUCAUUUUAAAUUUAAAUAGUUGCAAAAAGUAUAGUUUCUAUUGUUAUAAAUAUUAGCUAAAUUAUUAAAUCAGUUCUAAAUGUAUCCAACGGAAUGUAACCUCCACUGCAGUUGGACACCCACCUUCAUCUGGUUAAAAAUACACAUCUAUACAACAGUCAGAAACCUCUGCUUACACGUGUUUUUCCAUUCCACUCCCAUACCUACAACUCUGUCCCAAAACAUUUACCCUACUACAACUUUAGGAAUGAAAGUCUCCUUUUGCUCAUACAUAAUUCUCUGUAACACUCUAAAAUUGAAAUUUGUUUAAAUUUCCUGUGACCAUAAACUCUAAGUGUUAGAAAUACUUUUGUUCUAGAUUGAAUUAUUACAAUUACUAUUAGUACAUAUUUGACCAAAACAAAGUAUGAGAAAAUCUGUCUUAGAAUGCGUCGCAGGCCCGGCGCGGUGGCUCACGCCUGUAGUCCCAGCAGUUUGGGAGGCUGAGGUGGGCAGAUCCCGAGGUCAGGAGAUGGAGACCAUCCUGGCUAAGGCAAUGAAACCCCAUCUCUACUAAAAAUACGAAAAAUUAGCCCACGUUGUGGCAAGCGCCUGUAGUCCUAGCUACUCAGGAGCCUGAGGCAGGAGAAUGGCGUGAACCCAGGAGGCGGAGCUUGCAGUGAGCUGAGAUUGCGCCACUGUACUCCAGCCUGGGUGACAAAGCAAGACUCCGCCUCAAAAAAAAAAAAAGGCAUCGCAAUUAGAGGGAGGGAGCUGGUUCCGGUUUCCAUGGAUAAAUCUUGCUUACUGUUAAAAUAAGGUAAUUUCAGCAUCAAUUCCAUUCCCAUUUUUAUUUUUACAGAUAUAAGCACUGAAAAACCUUGUUUUCAUAAACAGAAGGGAAUGAAGUUUCGUGAUAGCAAAAUCACAAUUCUUUGAACUCCUGAGUUAUAAGUCAUGUGUGAUCUAUUAUCAAAAUUAUUUUUAGGCCAGGUAUGGUGGCUCACACCUGUAAUCCCAGCACUUUGGGAGGCUGAGGCGGGCAGAUCACCUGAGGUCAGGAGUUCGAGACCAGCCUGACCAACAUGGAGAAACCCUGUCUCUACUAAAAAUACAAAAAUUAGCCAGGUCUGGUGGCACACACCUGUAAUCCCAGCUACUCAGGAGGCUGAGGCAGGAUAAUCACUUGAACCCGGGAGGCGGAGGUUGCAGUGAGCCGAGAAUGUACCAUUGCACUCCAGCCUGGGUGACAAAAGCAAAGCUCUGUCUCAAAACAAAAACAAAAACAAAAUUAUUUUUAAUGAUCAAGUGACAACUUAGCUGGCUCCUCCUUCAAUUUUGUUAAAAACCUCUAAAUUGCAAAAAAAAAAACUGUCAGUCAUUAGAGACACACACUUCCUCAAUGUUACCAAUAUUUGCACAUAUUCCUACAUUGCCCCAGGGAUGGUUUUCACUCUCCAGGGCAACACCCCUUGGUGGGACAAGAAUGGCUGAGGGUCUGCCUUCCUUUCAGAGUGAAAGACCAUCAUACAGGACCCCCUUAAGCCAGGUGUGCUCUGCAGCAGCUUAAUUUUAGGAGGUAUAAUGGAGGAUGACUUAAAAUAAUUCCCUUAAACUAUCCUUGUGUGGGUACCCCAUGAAGUCUUCAUACCCCCGGGGUCAUGUGAACCCAGAGCACUGUUGUGAAGAGUAGGACCGCACUUACUCAGCACCGUGGCCUAACUGCAUGGCCUGGAGGAGGUGAGUAGAGGGAAGGACCCUGUAUUAACAGCAUCUCAUCCAGACAGCACUGAGAAGAGACGAGCCGGUGAGAGGGAGGAGGGUCUUCCUCUGAGUAAACAAACCAACCUGGCAAGGGUUCAGAGUAACGUGCUUAGAAGGCAUAAUCCUAACUCUGAGAAUAAAGCGAAAGAUUCUGCACCGUCAAUUAACAUCCAAGAAUAGGGCAGCCUGCACUCCUUCCCUGCAUCUGCCCCCACAGCCUGGCACCAAACAGCUGACUGGCCCAGUGGAGGACACCUCACCCAAAUGGGACAAUAACAUUCUCUCUCUCCUGGAAUUAAGGGCAUGUUGCCAGCAGCUGGACAACAAUUUCCUUCCAAAUCCAAUGAGAAACAGAGAAAGCUGGUCUGCAGAGACAGAAUUAAACAGCUGCAUAAUCAAGAGAGUGACAGAAAGGACAGGUACCUUGGACUCGAAGGCAGUCCUUGUGAGGCCCAGCUUCGCUCAGGUUCUGAAAAAUCUCCCUUUGUGUAUCAGCUGGAUUUAAUGAAUUUCUGGAGCUUGCAAUCAGAAGAGGUUUGGCUCAGGAGUCACUAGAGACUAUUCCUGAGGAAGUCAGCCCAAUAGACCAAUACAUUUAGCAUUAUCAAUAAGUACUCUGGGCCAGGCAAGUGGCUCACAUCUGUAAUCCCAACACUUUGGGAGGCUACAGCAGGAGGAUUGCUUGAGGCCAGGAGUUCAAGACCAGCCUGGGCAACACAGCAGCAAGACCUCGUCUCUCCCAAAAGCUUACUGCAACAGCGCCUAUUGUCCCACUACUUAGGAGGGUGAGGUGGAUCACUUGAGCCCAGGAGGUCAAGACUACAGUGAGCCAGUAUCGAGCCACUGCACUCCAGUCUGGGCGACGGAGUGAGACCCUGUCUCAAAAAAAAAAAGGAAAUUAGCUUUUUAUUAUAAUUAGUGAUGUUGAAUAUCUUUUUUAAAAAAAUGUUUUAUUCUUUUUAAAGUUAAAUUAUAUUUCCUUUUUUUAUGAGCUAUCUAUUCAUGUACUUUGCCCAUUUAUCUCCAGAGUACUUUUUUUUAAAAAUUCUUUAGAGAUUGGCUUUUGCUCUGUCGCCCAGGCUGAAAUGCAGUGGCGCAAUCUCAGCUCACUGCAGCCUUGACCUCCUGGGCUCAAGCGAUUCUCCUGCCUCAGCCCUUUUUGUAUUUUUGUAGAGACAAGGUUUCACCAUGUUGCCCAGGCUGGUCUUGAACUCCUAAGCUGAAGUGAUCUGCCACCUCAGCCUCCCAACAUGCUGGGAUUAUAGGCGUGAGCCAUGGCGCCCGGCCUAGUAAGGCAAUUUAAACCACAAAGAAAUGUUAUCACUUAGAGGACUGGCAAAGAUCAAAAAGUUUGGUAAUAUUUUAUGUAGACAAAGGUAAAAAGAAACAGGCACUCUCAACACUGCUAGAUAGGAAUGUAAACCAGCACCUUUUUUUUUUUUUUUUUUUUAGUAAUUAGCACUAUUGAAAUUGGAAAUGCACAUCCCCCUCACCUCCUAAAUCUCACGUCUAGAAAUGAUCCUAGAAAUAUAUCCAACAUUGUAUUAAAUGACAGCUAAAGAUUAUGCAUUAAAGUCAUAUUUAUAAAAGCAAAAAAUUUGAAACUGAAUACCCUUCAAAAAGAGACUAAACUAUGGUACAUUCAUAAAAUAAAAUCCAAUAUAGAAAAAUGAGACAGAACAAUCUCUAAGCUACAAGUGAGAUUUGGAAGGUAUACUAACUACCAUUUAGGCAAAAAUAAAACAGGCAAAGAAAAUGCGUUGGCCGGGCGUGGUGGCUCACACCUGUAAUCCCAACACUUUGGGAGGCCAAGGCACGUGGAUCACCUGAGGUCAGGAGUUCAAGACCAGCCUGACCAACCCGGAGAAACCCCGUCUCUACUAAAAAUACAAAAUUAGCCAGGUAUGGUGGCGCAUGCCAGUAAUUCCAGCUACUCGGGAGGCUGAGGCAGGAGAACUGCUUGAACCCAGAAAGCAGAGGCUGCGGUGAGCCGAGAUGGCGCCAUUGCACUCCAGCCUGGGCAACAAGAGCGAAACUCCAUCUCAAAAAAAAAGAAAAUGCAUCUAUAUAUGUUCAUAGAAUAUAUCAUAAUAAACAGAGGAAACUGAGGUAAGGAAAACACAAGGUCAGCAUGGAAGCCAUCUUGUCUGUCACAAGGUAGGGAGGUGAUCAAAGACUGAUAGGAGAUGCUCAAAGAACACAGAAGCCACAUUUCAGCAUCAAAAUCAAUAAUGGCAGAAAUGCUUACUAUACAUCAAAUCAGGAAAUUCCAUCAAAUUUCUUUAAAGGCUCAUCUUCACAGAAGAAAUAUCAAAAAUGUAGAAGGAAUGACAACAGAAAAAAUCAGUUUACAACUACCUUAGUAAUAAUUCAGUCAAGAAUGACCAAUGAACAGAGUGCAAACUGCUGAGGACACGAUAUUCCUAGUCUCAAAUAUCGCCCCUCAGGCUACUUAUUAACUGCAAAGGGGAAAGGGUAUCAACUUGACAAGGGAGAAAUCCGGCAGACACAACUUCAAAUCACCAAUAAUGGGACAAACUGGUAUCAAGUGCCACCUGACAUAACGAGGACACCAUAUCACCUAUAAAAAAUUCCUGACAAAAAUGUUUAACCUGAAACCACCAAUGAGACAAUCAGACAAAUCCAAGUUAAGGAAUGUCCUACAAAACAACUUGCCUGGACUCUUCAAAUAGGUCACUAUCAGGAAGGGCACUGGGGACUGACUAUUCUGGAUAAAAAGAGACUAAACAGUCACAACAUGCUGGGCACGGUGACUCACGCCUGUAAUCCCAGCACUUUAGGAGGCUGAGGCGGGCAGAUCAUGAGGUCAGAAAAUCGAGACCAUCUUGGCCUACAUGGUGAAACCCCAUCUCUACUAAAAUUACAAACAAUUAGCUGGGCAUGGUGGUGUGCACCUGUAGUCCUAGUUACUCGGGAGGCUGACUCAAAAGAAUUGCUUGAACGUGAGAGGCGGAGAUUGCAGUGAGCCAAGAUCACGUCACUGCUCUCCAGCCUGGAGACAGAGCAAGACUCCAUCUCAAAAGAAAAAAAAAAGUGACAACAACUAAAUGCAAUGUAUGAUCCUUUGCUGGAUCCUGGACCCAAAACAAAAACAAAAAGGAACUGCAUGUGCUGGUGAGAAUGUUAAAUGGUACAACUGAGUUGGAAACAGUCUGGCAGUUCCUCAAAAUGUUAAACAGAGUUACCAUAUGACCCAGGAAUUCCACUCCUAGGUAGAUACCCAAGAGAAAUGAAAACAUAUGUCCAUGUAAACAUAUGUUCACUAUUGCUCAUAGCAGCAUUAUUCGUAACAGCCCCAAAGUGGAAAGAACCCAAAUGUCCAACCAUAGAUAAACAAAAUGUGGUAUACCCAUUCGAUUGAAUACUAUUCAGAUAAUAGAGUAUCGAUUCAUGCCACAACAUGGAUGAGCCUUAAAAACAUGACACUGAGAGAAGCCAGUCACGUACAUCACACAUCAUAUGAUUAUAUUUAUAUGAAAUGUCCAGGAAAGACAAAUCCAUAGAGACUGAAAGUAGAUGAGUGCUUGCUUUGGG
rnacentral:lncRNA from 10 species